rnacentral:rRNA from 1 species
UUGAAGGUUGGGUAACACUAACUGGAGGACCGAACCGACUAAUGUUGAAAAAUUAGCGGAUGACCUGUGGCUGGGGGUGAAAGGCCAAUCAAACCGGGAGAUAGCUGGUUCUCCCCGAAAGCUAUUUAGGUAGCGCCUCGUGAAUUCAUCUCCGGGGGUAGAGCACUGUUUCGGCUAGGGGGCCAUCCCGGCUUACCAACCCGAUGCAAACUGCGAAUACCGGAGAAUGUUAUCACGGGAGACACACGGCGGGUGCUAACGUCCGUCGUGAAGAGGGAAACAACCCAGACCGCCAGCUAAGGUCCCAAAGUCAUGGUUAAGUGGGAAACGAUGUGGGAAGGCCCAGACAGCCAGGAUGUUGGCUUAGAAGCAGCCAUCAUUUAAAGAAAGCGUAAUAGCUCACUGGUCGAGUCGGCCUGCGCGGAAGAUGUAACGGGGCUAAACCAUGCACCGAAGCUGC